UAGUCCACGCCGUAAACGAUGGAUACUAGCUGUCCGGCGCACAUUGGUGUGCUGGGUGGCCAAGCGAAAGUGAUAAGUAUCCCACCUGGGGAGUACGUUCGCAAGAAUGAAACUCAAAGGAAUUGACGGGGGCCCGCACAAGCGGUGGAGCAUGUGGUUUAAUUCGAUGAUACGCGAGGAACCUUACCAGGGCUUAAAUGUAGUCUGACAGAUUUGGAAACAGAUUUUUCUUCGGACAGAUUACAAGGUGCUGCAUGGUUGUCGUCAGCUCGUGCCGUGAGGUGUCAGGUUAAGUCCUAUAACGAGCGCAACCCCUGUCGUUAGUUGCCAGCAUGUAAAGAUGGGAACUCUAACGAGACUGCCGGUGCAAACCGUGAGGAAGGUGGGGAUGACGUCAAUCAUCACGGCCUUACGUCCUGGCCACACACGUGCUACAAUGGCAGGUACAAUGGGCAGGCCACUGCGCAAGCAGGAGCGAAUCCACAAAACCUGUACUCA
rnacentral:rRNA from 1 species